rnacentral:rRNA from 1 species
GACAGAGGGUGCAAACGUUGUUCGGAAUUACUGGGCGUAAAGCGCGUGUAGGCGGCAGCGUGUGUCGGGCGUGAAAUCCCACGGCUCAACCGUGGAAGUGCACUCGAAACUGCGCAGCUAGAGUCCUGGAGAGGAAGGUGGAAUGCUUGGUGUAGAGGUGAAAUUCGUAGAUAUCAAGCGGAACACCGGUGGCGAAGGCGGCGACCUGGUCUGUGACUGACGCUGAGGCGCGAAAGCGUGGGGAGCAAACAGG